CUCUGCUCGUCGGCUGCCGGCCGGCCUCAUGCCAUCCCGGCCCUCGACUCCCUUCCAGCCAGCCCAACGUAGACGAGCGCCGGACCUUCACCCACCCAGCCAGCGUAGACGAGCGCCGGACGUUCACCCAGCCACUUCGCCGGACCUUCAUCCAGCCACUUCGCCGGACCGUCGACACUCCACAACCGAUCUCCUCAAUUCCUCAUGAUGAUGAUGAUGAUGAUGACGACGAAGACGAAGACGACAGGGAUGAUGAUGAUGAUGAUGAUGAUUAUGAUCAACAGUAGUGCGAACAAAGGGAAUAUAUGAGAAAGAAAGCAGAGUGAGGCACAUAAAUGUAUUGUAUUCUAUUAAGUAAUAAUAAUAACAAUAUGAUUAAGUGUUGGGUGCAUCACAUAUUAGUGGGGCUUGAACCAAAAUAAGGGCACUUGAAAUUGUUAAUGAAUGUGGAGGCUUACCAAUUUCCAUUGCAACAAUAUACUUUGGAAGUUUUGAUUUUUAA